CCUACGGGAGGCAGCAGUAGGGAAUAUUGGGCAAUGGAGGCAACUCUGACCCAGCCAUGCCGCGUGCAGGAAGAAGGCGUUAUGCGUUGUAAACUGCUUUUAUAUAGGAAGAAAUAGACCUUGCGAGGUAAGUUGACGGUACUAUAUGAAUAAGCACCGGCUAACUCCGUGCCAGCAGCCGCGGUAAUACGGAGGGUGCAAGCGUUGUCCGGAUUUAUUGGGUUUAAAGGGUGCGUAGGCGGUUUAUUAAGUCAGUGGUGAAAGACGGUCGCUCAACGAUUGCAGUGCCAUUGAUACUGGUAGACUUGAGUGGGAUUGAGGUAGCUGGAAUGGAUAGUGUAGCGGUGAAAUGCAUAGAUAUUAUCCAGAACACCAAUUGCGUAGGCAAGUUACUAAGUCUCAACUGACGCUGAGGCACGAAAGUGUGGGUAUCAAACAGGAUUAGAUACCCUGGUAGUCCACACUGUAAACGAUGAUAACUAACUGUUGGCUUUCGGGUCAGUGGUACAGAGAAAUCGUAAGUUAUCCACGNGGAGGUAACGUCGCGACGAGUAACGUUACGAAGAAGUUAGAGGCGNGAGAGNGCGACGGACGACGACGAGGGAGGAGG
rnacentral:rRNA from 1 species